UAUUACAUAGUAAUAUAUUCAGUUACUUAUAUUUCAUGAUUUAGCUUAUAUCACUGUUAUCAUCGAAACCUAUCCAGAUAGUUUUAGGCAUGACCACGGUUACGGUUAUUACGGUUACGGUUUAUUAACCACCGUAUAUGAUUAUAACUUUUUUUAACCUUAACAUUAACCGUUAUAUAUACGGUUAAAACGGUUACGGUUAAAUACGGUUAUGGUUAGAUACGGUUACGGUUAUUUGAUAAUUAUGAUAUAAUUAAUAUAUGAGACAAAAUAUUAUAUU
rnacentral:sRNA from 1 species